rnacentral:rRNA from 1 species
GGCGGCUUUUUAAGUCGGAUGUGAAAUCCCCGAGCUUACCUUAGGAAUUGCAUUCGAUACUGGAAAGCUAGAGUAUGGGAGAGGAUGGUAGAAUUCCCGGUGUAGCGGUGAAAUGCGUAGAGAUCUGGAGGAAUACCGAUGGCGAAGGCAGCCCUCUGGCCUAAUACUGACGCUGAGGUACGAAAGCAUGGGGAGCAAACAGGAUUAUAUACCCUGGUAGUCCCUGCCGUAAACGAUGUCUACUAGCCGUUGGGGCCUUUGACGCUUUAGUGGCGCAGCUAACGCGAUAAGUAGACCGCCUGGGGAGUACGGUCGCAAGACUAAAACUCAUAUGAAUUGACGGGGGCCCGCACAAGCGGUGGAGCAUGUGGUUUAAUUCGAUGCAACGCGAAGAACCUUACCUGGCCUUGACAUACUAAGAACUUUCCAGAGAUGGAUUGGUGCCUUCCGGAACUUAGAUACAGGUGCUGCAUGGCUGUCGUCUGCUCGUGUCGUGAGAUGUUGGGUUAAGUCCCGCAACGAGCGCAACCCUUUUCCUUAUUUGCCAGCGGGUUAUGCCGGGAAC